AAAGUGAUGCCUGAAUAAAGGACUUCAUUGAUAGUGAAGAUCAUGUAAUAUUUUACUCACUUUA
rnacentral:tRNA from 1 species